CAGUGAAGGUUAUUGUUGGCUGCCUCCAGGGUGAUGCAGCAGAGUGGAGGCACAGGGGAGCUGCUGCAGCUCCUCCAAGGCUUACAGUGGAAGUUCAAGGACUAAAAUUGUCACAAUAGAGAGGGACUGAGUCUGCCUUGCCAAGUAAUGUGUUUGGAGGCAGCGUGUCUUGCUGCAGAGUAAUAAAACACUGUUCCAUCA